GACGAACGCUGGCGGCGUGCCUAAUACAUGCAAGUAGAACGCUGAAGGAGGGGCUUGCUUCUCUGGAUGAGUUGCGAACGGGUGAGUAACGCGUAGGUAACCUGCCUGGUAGCGGGGGAUAACUAUUGGAAACGAUAGCUAAUACCGCAUAAGAGUAGAUGUUGCAUGACAUUUGCUUAAAAGGUGCAAUUGCAUCACUACCAGAUGGACCUGCGUUGUAUUAGCUAGUUGGUGAGGUAACGGCUCACCAAGGCGACGAUACAUAGCCGACCUGAGAGGGUGAUCGGCCACACUGGGACUGAGACACGGCCCAGACUCCUACGGGAGGCAGCAGUAGGGAAUCUUCGGCAAUGGACGGAAGUCUGACCGAGCAACGCCGCGUGAGUGAAGAAGGUUUUCGGAUCGUAAAGCUCUGUUGUAAGAGAAGAACGAGUGUGAGAGUGGAAAGUUCACACUGUGACGGUAUCUUACCAGAAAGGGACGGCUAACUACGUG
rnacentral:rRNA from 1 species